rnacentral:rRNA from 1 species
UGGGGAAUCUUCCGCAAUGGACGAAAGUCUGACGGAGCAACGCCGCGUGAACGAUGACGGCCUUCGGGUUGUAAAGUUCUGUUAUACGGGACGAAUGGUACGACGGUCAAUACCCGCCGUAAGUGACGGUACCGUAAGAGAAAGCCACGGCUAACUACGUGCCAGCAGCCGCGGUAAUACGUAGGUGGCAAGCGUUGUCCGGAAUUAUUGGGCGUAAAGGGCGCGCAGGCGGCGUCGUAAGUCGGUCUUAAAGGUGCGGGGCUUAACCCCGUGAGGGGACCGAAACUGCGAUGCUAGAGUAUCGGAGAGGAAAGCGGAAUUCCUAGUGUAGCGGUGAAAUGCGUAGAUAUUAG